UGCGUGAGGAGAUGCCAUGGACGCCGAUGUCAAGCUCCGUUGCUUUGACCCCUAUCCAGAUCCGCCCCCUUCUCUCUUCCCCUCUUCGAUCUGCCCUUCUUCCAUUUCCUUCCCUGAGGCAUGCAUUUUCUCUUGUUUUUCUUCCUCACACAGGCACCUGCACCACAAACUCUAUGCAAGGAGAGGAGUGAGGGUGCUGCAGGGAGAAAAGGGAAGAACGGGAUGCACCUGAGGAGCGAGGGGUUGACAUCUUGGUUCUUGCUUGACCACGUUGCCUAUGGUAUGCCUUUGCUACUUUCCCUCUUUACAAUUGCAUGCAUCUGUUUGCUACGAAAACAACAACCUAGGCCACCAACUGUUUGUUGUUUUGUUAAAAUCUUUAGAUUUGUAUGCCUCUAUUUUAGUAAUUGCUAUAGUAAUUGAAUCUGGUUGAACUGAAAAUGGCGUUGGGGACAUCAAUUUCUACAGUGGCUGUCGUCCAGAAAAUAAAUCUCUUUGGAAAAUAAAUAUUACGAGACUACUCUGAACAAUACUACUCCUUCAACUUGUACAUACUCCUAGACUGUUGCUGUAUGGUUUCAAAAAUCCCAGAUAAAAAUCUAGAUGACAUUUACAUCUGUAAAUACAUACAUAUGAAAUAAGCACCACGGUUCCGUUUAGUGUGUAUGCGUUGAUAUGUUUUAACUUUGACUAUAACAAUCUGGAUGGCACCUGCAUCUGUAGAUAAAUAUGAAGAAGAACCACAGUUUGGUUCAGUUUGCUUUCCUUGGAAACGCUAGUCUUACCAUGUUUGCUUUCCUUGGAAACGAUUCAGCUCUAGGAGCAAAUUAUUAGUUUGUUGUUUAUAAUCUAUAUCAUUUAUCAAAUUGUGUUGUAAAUUAUCAUUCCCUGUCUCAAUUUAAUUUUGUUGCAUUCCCCGGCUCGUUUUAAUUUUGUUCAUGUGGUAGAGUAUGACUGUUGUUGUUUAUCCUGUUAAUUUAGUUGACUUUCUCUCUUGAAAUCUAGUCAAACACUAAAACAAGCACACUGCCGUAUCUGUACCGGCAAGAUCUCUUUUCACACCAUCCAGUCCAAAACCAAAAGCUGUUGUAUUCUCUGAUGAACUUCAAGGCAACGGAAAUGCAGCAGGAUAUAUGCAAGAUUCCGUGGAUACUUUGCACAAGAUAUUAAUGACACGGAAGCAGAGCCAUAUUAACAUAGGUACACCAUACACUACACCUUUACACCAAGCAAGUAUUUACUCUGCGGAGCUUAUCAUCCAUAUUCUUGCAGCUUUAUGUUCCAUCUAAUAUGUACAGAAAUCAAUGUGUAUUCAUAACCAGACGUGUCAUUAGCUAGUUUAAAUCCUCACUGUAGGCAAUAUAACUUUCCAGCACAUGGAAAUUUGUUUACUUAACCAUACCUUAUAAUGGGUCAGCUUAGUAUUUUCAAAGUGCCAUACCAUAUAACCAAAAUCUAUUCCACGGCAACAAGUCUGUUCCCUGCUACCAAAAGUAGGUUACUUGUUAUAUUUUAGCAUACUAAGGGUUCUCUACAACCAAUUAUGUUCUGCACAGAGCCAAAGAGGGCCAAGUUGGGGUUGUGUUGGCUACAUCAACACUUGUAAUAUUUCCCAAUACGUACAUUCAUUUGUUAUUAAGUUAUAUCAUCUUCCCAAAAAAUUUACAAUCAUCUUCAAUGUAGGGUAUAUAUUUUUUUUUGCAGAUCUAGUGGUCAGGUUUAUAACAUGGUUGUCCAUACAAAAUUGUUGUAACUUAUCAUCAAUAUUUCUACAUAAAAUAUUCUAAAUCUUCUUGUUCUUCCAAUGUACAUACAAGUGAAACUUUAUCCCGAAACUUGAUAAAAUGAGACCCCUUUGGUUGGUUCUAACAAAAUUACUCAUAUCUAAAAAUGUCUAAUGUUUGUUCUAUUUUUGGACAGAUAUAUUAAUCCUACUUGUUGUUGCCUCUCGCAACUGCAUGAGAUGAUAGUUGCCAUGAAGAGCAUCGAUUGCAAGAAAUUGAAUAAGAAACUUUUAUAUAUGUUGAUGUAAAUUGGAUUGUGCUAGUCCUAAACAUGCUAUGUGUUGUAUUUUGUCAAUUCGUGUUGUACAUUAUCAUUUCAUGGAGGAUUUUGCAAACUGCUAUGUUGUACAUGUCGGUAGAUGGCUGCAAAAAUACUACAUGAUCUUUCUAUUUUAUGGCACUUUGAAAUAUGUUUUUUCUUCAGCCAAAGUUGGCACUAUGAUCUAUGUAAUGUAUUAUGCUAGAAAAAAAUCC
rnacentral:lncRNA from 1 species